rnacentral:piRNA from 1 species
UGUGAAGUGAUUCUAAAGGAACUUAUGUGC